rnacentral:rRNA from 1 species
GCGUUGCGUGGUUCACCGCGGAGGUAGAGCUACUGGAUGGCCGAUGGGCCCUACUAGGUUACUGACGUCAGCCAAACUCCGAAUGCCGUGGUGUAAAGCGUGGCAGUGAGACGGCGGGGGAUAAGCUCCGUACGUCGAAAGGGAAACAGCCCAGAUCGCCGGCUAAGGCCCCCAAGCGUGUGCUAAGUGGGAAAGGAUGUGCAGUCGCAAAGACAACCAGGAGGUUGGCUUAGAAGCAGCCACCCUUGAAAGAGUGCGUAAUAGCUCACUGGUCAAGUGAUUGUGCGCCGAUAAUGUAGCGGGGCUCAAGCACACCGCCGAAGCCGCGGCACAUCCACCUUGUGGUGGGUGUGGGUAGGGGAGCGUCCCUCAUUCAGCGAAGCCACCGGGUGACCGGUGGUGGAGGGUGGGGGAGUGAGAAUGCAGGCAUGAGUAGCGACAAGGCAAGUGAGAACCUUGCCCGCCGAAAGACCAAGGGUUCCUGGGCCAGGCCAGUCCGCCCAGGGUGAGUCGGGACCUAAGGCGAGGCCGACAGGCGUAGUCGAUGGACAACGGGUUGAUAUUCCCGUACCCGUGUGUGGGCGCCCGUGACGAAUCAGCGGUACUAACCACCCAAAACCGGAUCGAUCACUCCCCUUCGGGGGUGUGGAGUUCUGGGGCUGCGUGGGAACUUCGCUGGUAGUAGUCAAGCGAAGGGGUGACGCAGGAAGGUAGCCGUACCAGUCAGUGGUAACACUGGGGCAAGCCGGUAGGGAGAGCGAUAGGCAAAUCCGUCGCUCACUAAUCCUGAGAGGUGACGCAUAGCCGGUUGAGGCGAAUUCGGUGAUCCUCUGCUGCCAAGAAAAGCCUCUAGCGAGCACACACACGGCCCGUACCCCAAACCGACACAGGUGGUCAGGUAGAGCAUACCAAGGCGUACGAGAUAACUAUGGUUAAGGAACUCGGCAAAAUGCCCCCGUAACUUCGGGAGAAGGGGGACCGGAAUAUCGUGAACACCCUUGCGGUGGGAGCGGGAUCCGGUCGCAGAAACCAGUGAGGAGCGACUGUUUACUAAAAACACAGGUCCGUGCGAAGUCGCAAGACGAUGUAUACGGACUGACGCCUGCCCGGUGCUGGAAGGUUAAGAGGACCCGUUAACCCGCAAGGGUGAAGCGGAGAAUUUAAGCCCCAGUAAACGGCGGUGGUAACUAUAACCAUCCUAAGGUAGCGAAAUUCCUUGUCGGGUAAGUUCCGACCUGCACGAAUGGCGUAACGACUUCUCAACUGUCUCAACCAUAGACUCGGCGAAAUUGCACUACGAGUAAAGAUGCUCGUUACGCGCGGCAGGACGAAAAGACCCCGGGACCUUCACUACAACUUGGUAUUGAUGUUCGGUACGGUUUGUGUAGGAUAGGUGGGAGACUGUGAAACCUCGACGCCAGUUGGGGCGGAGUCGUUGUUGAAAUACCACUCUGAUCGUAUUGGGCAUCUAACCUCGAACCCUGAAUCGGGUUUAGGGACAGUGCCUGGCGGGUAGUUUAACUGGGGCGGUUGCCUCCUAAAAUGUAACGGAGGCGCCCAAAGGUUCCCUCAACCUGGACGGCAAUCAGGUGGCGAGUGUAAAUGCACAAGGGAGCUUGACUGCGAGACUUACAAGUCAAGCAGGGACGAAAGUCGGGAUUAGUGAUCCGGCACCCCCGAGUGGAAGGGGUGUCGCUCAACGGAUAAAAGGUACCCCGGGGAUAACAGGCUGAUCUUCCCCAAGAGUCCAUAUCGACGGGAUGGUUUGGCACCUCGAUGUCGGCUCGUCGCAUCCUGGGGCUGGAGCAGGUCCCAAGGGUUGGGCUGUUCGCCCAUUAAAGCGGCACGCGAGCUGGGUUUAGAACGUCGUGAGACAGUUCGGUCUCUAUCCGCCGCGCGCGUCAGAAACUUGAGGAAACCUGUCCCUAGUACGAGAGGACCGGGACGGACGAACCUCUGGUGCACCAGUUGUCCCGCCAGGGGCACCGCUGGAUAGCCACGUUCGGUCAGGAUAACCGCUGAAAGCAUCUAAGCGGGAAACCUUCUCCAAGAUCAGGUUUCUCACCCACUUGGUGGGAUAAGGCCCCCCGCAGAACACGGGUUCAAUAGGUCAGACCUGGAAGCUCAGUAAUGGGUGUAGGGAACUGGUGCUAACCGGCCGAAAACUUACAACACCC